rnacentral:rRNA from 1 species
UACGGAGGGAGCUAGCGUUGUUCGGAAUUACUGGGCGUAAAGCGCGCGUAGGCGGCUUUGUAAGUUAGAGGUGAAAGCCCGGGGCUCAACCCCGGAACAGCCUUUAAGCCUGCAUCGCUAGAAUCCGGGAGAGGUGAGUGGAAUUCCGAGUGUAGAGGUGAAAUUCGUAGAUAUUCGGAAGAACACCAGUGGCGAAGGCGGCUCACUGGACCGGUAUUGACGCUGAGGUGCGAAAGCGUGGGGAGCAAACAGG